GCUUGGGUUUGGGUUGAUGGUAGGCCUGUGCUCCAGGACCCUUCAUAGUGCCCAUGCCAGAGCAGCCUGCGGCCCUGCACCAUUGCCUGGCCCUCCCAGUGGACAGCAGGCGCUGAAGCAGGUCACAGAGUA